UUACUAGUCUGCAGGCCGCAUGUUUUCUUUCCCUCUCCCUUUGCCAGGUACACAGACUGCAGUCAAUUUGGGAUCAAUUAGAGAAAGGAGGCUUUGAUUGGACAAACCAGGAGUGCACGCCCCGAUAAGGAAACUCACCUGUGGCUGGGUGUAUCUCUCUCUACCUUGGAAUUGUUUGGCACACAUGUAGAGCUCCACUGGUGCAUUUUGUUUGUUUGAAGGUUGUGGUAGGAGGACUAGGUGAGUCUGGGGACCUCAUACACUUACUCACGUAGAAUCUAUUCUGUUAGAAACAUUAGGUAAGUGGGUUGGUGCCACCCAUUGUAAUUUUUGAGCUUGUUUUGAGUUAAGGAUUAGGGCUUUUUUUCCCUUCUUGUUUUUCUAGGGUAAGAGCUCAGCUAAGUUUUGGUUUGGUCUUUUUUUUGUGUUUUGUUGGGAUUUUUUUUGGAACAACCUAACUGUCCCUUUCUCGCCCACAUUUUUUUGUAUGAAUUUGUGUAAUUGUUUUUGUGAGAAAGCUGCUAUUAAACUUGUCUCAGCAUAUAACACUUGUACUGAGUUUCUGGAGUUGUUGUAACCCAUAUUGAAGUAUAGCUUGGAUAAUAUGUACCAAAACAUUAAAAAUAUAUAUAUUAAUCUUAGCAUUUAUACUAAGUUUAUAGUGAAUAAGCCAUAGGUUCAGCAGUGAAAGAGUUAACUGUUCUGAAGUAAACGUGGGUUGCUCUUAGCCAAUGAGCUGCUGCAAUGUGGUGCAGUGCCCCGCCUUUCAUCUCCAUCUGAGAGAGCACAGGCUUUUCCUCCUCUCUCGUGAAUCCCCCAUGAGCACGCUAGCGAGGAAAAGGAGAUGGAGAUUCACUGAAACGAGGUCAGGAAUUGGAGACGGCGCCAUUUCAUUGUUCCUGCGCCAUCUCGCGCUCCUGCGCUAUUCUUUUUUUGAGGUCAGGUUUUUUUCCUUAAUGUUCUUCCUUUCAAUGCAUUGCAACGGAUCCUGUAAUCGAUGGCGAGCCAAUCCUGUUGACCAAUUGACUUUUUCCUGUGCUGCAUGGCAGAGUGUGGUAGGCCAGCUGCAACAAAAAAAAAACCACCACUUUGAACCUACUAUUCCCCUUCUUCACACACAUCCCCCUGGAC
ensembl:lncRNA